UACAGAGGGUGCAAGCGUUAAUCGGAGUUACUGGGCGUAAAGGGCGCGUAGGCGGAUAUUUAAGUCGGAUGUGAAAUCCCUGGGCUUAACCUAGGAAUUGCAUUCGAUACUGAAUGACUAGAGUAUGGUAGAGGAAAGCGGAAUUCCCGGUGUAGUGGUAAAAUACGUAGAUAUCGGGAAGAACACCAGUGGCGAAGGCGGCUUUCUGGCCCAAUACUGACGCUGAGGCGCGAAAGCGUGGGGAG
rnacentral:rRNA from 1 species